AGAGAGAACGUGCACAGAAGUCCACUCAAACAUCCAUUUGUAUAGAUGCCCGAUAUACUUUGCUUUAGAUGAAUGGCCUAAUAAACAAGUGUGGGCAAAAGUUGAUCAUAGAGAGAAUGUCCAUUUAUAAGGUCAGCCUGCAAUAACUCAGGAUUCUUCUACCAGAGGCAACCUGGAGUGCAGACGUUUUGUGUGGGGUGGGGACUUGCAGUACCUUCUCCGUAUGUGCCACUAAGUAAUUUUCCCCAAGCAGCAAACUCUAGAUAUUCUGGUUAAGGGUACAUCUCCAAUUUUAUCAAUAAGAAGAGGAUAUCUUUCCCUCCGGAAAAAAGACAGAAGCCAGCAAAUGAAGACACCCAAGUCAAGGCCUGAACCUCAACCCAGGCGGGAUGUUCAGAACCAAGACAACUUACCACUGUGAUGCACAUCCACCAGGGAGAUGAAAGGGGCCACACGCCUGUACGUGUUGCACUGGAAUCUGCUCUGAAGAGACAGAGACCAGACACUUUGGAUUCUGCCCAUGAGGCCACGUCCCCUGAGCCUUGAAGCACCACCUGUAAAAACAAGGAGAGCAUUUAGUUGAGGUCUCAGGACCCACACUCGUGGAGACACAGAGUUACCCAUAACGGAAAGUAUGUCCCUCCAUCUCAGCAGGGAGUUCAGGCUCAAGGAGGCCAAAACCAUAGAGCCCCGCAAUUUGUGAAAGAUUUAGCAUUGCUGCUGGCAGACCUUCACCUAAUACAUGCUUGGCAAUUUGGCUGCCAGAAGUUCCAUGAUGUCCAGACCUGACCCAAGCAGGAGGAUGUGGGCAAGGAGGUGGCCGGGAGGUCAAUCACCAUUUGCAACUAGUGACAAGAAUCUCAGUAAAGUCCCUUCUGCUCCCAGAACCCAAACAGAAGAUCUGCAGAAACCCUAUUUCAACUGCAUUUUUCAUGACCGUCCUAGGGAGGCUUACUUCUCCUUGAUUCGUCUUUCACUUUUGACAUGUGUUCUCAUUCAUCUACCUGUAACUUCAAUGAUAGGGAACUCCUGGAGGAGAUGUGCUUACACUCUACCUCUUUGAUGUCUUUUCUACUCACGUUAGUGACCCUCUUAGUCUUGCUUCCUUUCUUCUUUCAUAACUCUCUAUUCAAAAGCAUCUUAGCAGUCAUUAAAUAUUUUUCUUAAUUUUUGGCUUAUAUGUGAUUCAAAGGAUGAGUACACAAUUUUUUAAAAGUGUACAAGGAUACCUUGAGAUGAGUAACACAGUAAAGUAGUAUCACACUCUUAAAUGGAAUUUUGGGAGAUUCGACCGGCAAAAAGCAUUACUACAUAUUGAGUGGAAACUAAGCUAUGCCACCUGCAAAAUCUCUAUUUGGCUGAAAGGGGCCUCUCGCCUUUCCUCGCUAAGACAUGCCUCUCAUGGACCCUGGAACUCAAAAUAAAAAAGAAAAAAAAAACAACAACUACCUUCCACUUCCACAACACCCUUCCACCUCAGGGUCGUGGCUAUGGCAGACCUCACACUGUGUGCUUUUUACCCUGAUAAACACCAACCCUCCAAUAAAGCACAGAGCAUAGAGCCAAGCUUCAGCACCCUGGCCACCUGGCUGGCUGACGUGGCUGCCUGGGCCUGCCUGGGCCUGCCUGCCUCCCUCCCUGGCUCCAGUCCUUUCCUAUAGCAUCUGCCUGGGCCCUGUGAUUCUGGCUCUGCCCCAGGUGCCCUGUGCCCUGGGUGCAGGCCGUCAAAAGGCAGUUGAGGAGCCUUAGACUCCAGCUGACCGGCCCUGUGCUCGGCUCAACCCAACCACCGUGGUGACCAACGUGGGCCCAGGUGCCAGAUUGGACUGCAACCCCCGCUUUCCUGCUCAAACACAGGGGGAUCCUCUGAAGCAAGGCACAUUGGCCCCAAAUAACCUGCCGCUGAGCCCCCACACCACCAGCCUGAAUAACCCCUGGGGACAGAAGCCCAAGACGCCUAAACAACUUACCCACCAGGCAGUGCAUUUCACUCGUCCUCACUUUUUGCAAAGGUUGUCUGAUGGUUCCAGAAAAAUCCGGCUAAGUUAUGGCCUGGGUGCUGUUGGUAGGUUUAGAACCCUUAACCUACCCAGGUUUUGAAAGGUCACCUGACCCAUUUCUGAGGGCUGGCCCAGUGACCACGCCCACAUCUGCCAGCCUGGGACUCUGCCUGCAGAGGGAAUUCCCAUCUUUGCUGAUCAGAGACAUGACCCUCUAACUGCCCCAACUGACCUGAGUAGGAGCCCCAGCAAAGGAGGGGAGAAGGGACAGGGCCCUCGGGUCAUAGAUGAGCCCACAUGGCACUCAAUGAGACAGGACAUCCCUCUGGGAGCAUCCAAAGAAGGGGAAGUUCUGACAACAAACUCAGGGGCUUCAUCUUAUCGCAAAGGGGUAUAAACAAUGAGCCACGUGGCUUUCUCAGACCUGAGAAGGGGCUGUGACCAACAGGUCAGGCUGACAUGGAUGCUGGGUUGCUGUGGCCCUACCUGGCACUGUGGGCCACUUAACACAAACUUUUAGGCAGAGGCCAAGGUCCGCACAUGCCUGGAUUCCCGAUAAGGAAGUGCCUUUCUCUGGGAACAGGUCCUGGGAAGCAGGAGGAUGCCUCCAGGUGUGAAAUAAUCUCUCAUGUCUGAGUGCAAGACUGGAAGCAUCUCUCUGCCCAUUGGGUUUGCCCCGCACUCUACAGAUCUACUCUUUCCAAGCAGUGACCUUGAACCCACAGUCUUCCCUUCCUGCGGUGCCCCAGAACCAUACUCUUUGACAGAGGCAUGCUACUAGGCCCCUGAGAGAGGCAGGCCAGGACUCGCAGAGGGCAGGGCCAUGAGGAGCAUACCGGUAUCACUCACAAACACCUCCAUGGCACGUUAGAUGGUCUCAGGCCAAUGCUUUUGGAGGCCUUCAGGAUGACCGCAAAGUGCCAGUAUUUCUUCACACCUACAGGUGGAGGGAGACAGGGAAAAGGGGGUCCAGAACCACCUCCCUCUCUUGCAACCACACUGAGGUUCUGCGGGGAAAGCCCUAGGCAUCCCCAGAGGGUCUGUGUGGAGCGGCAUCCUCCUCCUUCCCUGAACAGGGACUAUCAUCCACCCAGCACAACAGCAGACCCACCCAGUCCCUCUGCGCUCAGAGUCAAAGGGACAGCAGGCUCUCUUCCAGGUGAAGAGCAGAGGUGCCAGAACACAAAGUCAUGGGUCUUGCCAUUCCUCCAGAAUCUCUGUGAGAACAGAUGGGGAAACACCCCAGCAUCUGAGGAAGAAAUGCACUGUUUGGACUCUUGAGUAUUUUAAUUUUAUCAUUUUCCAAUGAAUUCUACCUUGCGUUUCUCCUUGCAGUACUACUGAAAAUGUCAAAAAUUUUCCUCCAAGAAUACAAGUCAGCCAUCAGAUCUACGGAGAAAUGAGACCCUAAGUACCAUCUAGAUAAGAAGUCCUCAAAUCUUCUUCUUAGUGGGAUGCAGUCUGAAGACUCAGCUAGCUUGGAUGAUCCAGGAACGAGGAAACUGCCACCUUCCAUGGGCAGAAGAGACCAGAAGCAGGUUGCCAGCUACCCAGACAAUGAAAAGGGAUGGUAGGAAAACACACUUGGAUCAUUGGUGUCUUCCUGUUAGAAAGAUGGCAGAAAAGACAUGGAUGAGAAUUCUAAAGGAAGAUUUUUGCUGGAUGGACAGGCGGGUGAACGUUCCACAAGAACAACAGAGGAAGACGCCAAUUUUUCACCAGGGUGGUAUGUUGGCCUUUAUUUGUGGGAAACACGAAAGUCUUCUGGCUUUUUAAAUCAAGGUCAUAUACAAAAAUCUCAGCAUGCACAACUGACAGGGUAGGGAGAAGUUUGAGGGAGAAUCUGUUACCAAAUGCUACCUAAUCCCAAAGAUAUUGUAGGGGGGGGCGGGGACAAUCACAGCAGGAUCACCUACCAUCUGUAGGGCAGUGAGCUUUUGUAUGGAUAGCAGCUAUUCAUCCUUGCCACCUAUUUUGUUCAGUGGGAACCGGAACGUGGAACCUGAAGGAAGACUGGGCACAUUUGUGCCGGACUCAUUUUGCUCUCUUCAUACUUUGGGGCUCACGGGCCUCUAGCACACUUCCCCAUCUGGUUUUCUCCCAUCCCCCAGGGAACAAAAAAGCCACACAAACAGGACAAAGCAUGAUUUGAUGCUUAUUCUGUUUUCUUUUCUGAAAUCAUGGGUGACCCUGCUGGUAGGGGAUGGCGGUAAGUAUUCUAUACUCUAGAGUCACUUACUUGUUUGCAACAACCUGGAAAAGGGGAAAGGUGGGGCUUCCUCACAGGCUUUCAUGAUGAGAACCACUCUGAUUACAGGUCCUGCAGGAUUGAGAAUAAAGGUCAUAGUAACAGAAAAGCAUUUUCUGGGGAAAGACCCGUGGCCUCAUGGCCCUGUCCCCAGAAACUACUCCGCUGCCCUUAGGUGGUGCAGCUUUGAGUGCAGGGAGUAGGUGUGCCUUAGAGAUGGACCAUUUCACAGCUACUCCAUGACCUGUAGCUCCAGUAUGAGGCAGAGUUUCUAUUCACGUCCCUGCUCCUCUUCAGGAGCUUUCUUCCUCCAUCCAGGAAGGGCCAACUGCAGCUCAGUCCAGACUGAUUAGCUCCCCACCUCCACACACUUGUCAACACAUGCACACCAAGAAACGCUCCAUGAGCAAUUCCUGAAGAGCCCCGUGGGUGUCCCGACACUCUCUGUGUGUAUCUACCUAGAUCCCCUGGCUAGCCUUUGCAAUGGCCUUGAUGUGAACAGCACAGAGGGAGAGGCCCCAUUUUUCACCAAGGUGGUAAUUUAGCCUUUCUUCAUGUGAGGUACAGCAUCAUUUGUUUCUCUUAUACUCGAAAUCAGAUCCAAACACCUCAGCACGUACAAUGUACUUGGUGGACAGAUCAUUGAGGGAGAGUCUGUUACCCAUGGAUACCCGAUUCCAAAGACUCUGCAGGAAACAGCAGGUUCGGUUACAGUCCACAGGGUAGUGAGCUUUUUCCCGGGUACUACUUACACCGCCUUACAACCUGUUUUGUCCAAUGGACCCAGGGCAUGCAACCUCUAAGUAGAUUCCAUAUCAGUGCCCAUGACCCUGCCCAUCACCAAGAGAACAAAAGAGCUGUGCAUGCAGGAUGAGGCAUGACUUGAUGUUCAUCAUGUUUUCUUUUCUGAAAUCGCAGGUGGCCCUGCUGGAAAGGGAGAGUGGUAAGUCUGCUGUACUCUAGAGUCACGCAUUGGUUUCGAGCAACCUGGACAAGGGCAAGGUGGGGGUUCCCUGCAGGCUCCAUCUUGAGAGCCACCCAGAAUCCAGAUCCUGCUGCAAUGGGACUAAGAGUCAUGUUCCAGACCACCACCCAAGGCCUCAUGAACCUGUCCCCAGAAGCUACCAUACUAUUCUUAGGUGCUGUAGGAUUGGGUGCUGGGCAGGAGCUGUGUUUACAUGGGAAUCCAUGUGCUGUGAUUCUCAGGGUUGGUGUGUGUCAGGUGUGUGAAUGGGAUGUUCUUAUACCUAUCUGUUCCCUUCAACAUGGUGAUUAAUGGUGUCCACUUUCUCAGGAAAGUUUCCAAUCACCGUCAUGUCAUUAACGUCCAUGUAUGUGAAAACUUUUCAACACCUACAAUUUCAACAGGUGUUCUUUCCUUGCAAAUACACAUCAAUUACCCUAGAAAAAAAAUCCCGUCGCUAACUAGGAAGGGGGAAACUGUGCCCCAAAGACAAGUUUGCCUUGUCCAAUCCCUGUUACUGAGUCAGUGUCCAUGGGUCUCUCACAUCAUGGUACGCUGCGGGCAUGAAUGGUCACAGUACCUCCCUCUUGCCACUUCACUCACAUAUGUCUCUGCAUCAGAGGCCCCAUGAUGCAUCUUCCCAAACUCUUUGGAAGCACUGAGUGCUGGGACAGACUCCUUCCUUCUGCAAGCAGCUUCUGCGGCAGCCUCGUGCAAAGGCACAUUCAGGGAGGAUCCUGACAAAGGAGCAGUAGCCAGGAAUAGAUGGGGCCAAUUCACUCCGUGUUUCUCUGUGGAGAUCUACCAUUUCCCUGAAGAUACUGUGUCUAAGAUUUAAACUUCUUCCCAUGGGAAAUCACACACCCACCACUGGUGCUAGCUGGGGCUCUCUGAGGAGGGCACAAAAGGUGUCCUAUCAUAGGGGAAAUGAGGUCUUCCUCAGGGACUGAGCAUUACUCUGGGGACCUGGGCCCCCUCCAUGCAGGAAUGAAGGGUGCUCUGGGCAUUGCAAAGUGGCGAAAGAGAACCUCAAACCUCAACAGGUGUGACAGGAAAAUCAUCACACAUUUCCCUGGCCAUCUGUCCAUGCAAGAGGGGCUUGUUUUAUUUGGUAGGUUUGUGCCAAUAGAGAAGUUAAGGGAGUUCAGUGCCUAGGAAUGGAAACAGAGCCAAAUUAGGGUUGCAGGGUUCUUUUGCAUCAAACAAGAAUUUCUCUCAUGAGAAACAUGUAUUUGAACAGAAUCUGAUUUUCCGACAUCUCUUUUCCUCACUUGCAUGUGUGAGAUCCAUGGGAGUACCUUUCAUUGCUCUCUGACGACACUCAACAGGCUUUUCCAGGGCAGUUGCACCAUUCUGCAUUCCACUAACUGCAAAGAAGUCUCAAAUUUUCUGCAUCCUUCCAACAUGGGUUUUGGGCUUGAAUUCCUGGUUUGGUCCUCACUACCCUAACAGACAAUGCCACAGCUCAGCGUCCUUUGGAUUUACAUUGCCCUCAUGAUGCCUUAUGUUGUGCAUCUUUUUAUAUUUCUGUUUGGCCAGCCAUUCAUUCCCUUUGCAGCACAGUCUAUUCAAGUCUUUUUCUCGAUUAUUUCAUUUGGUGAAAUCCCGUUCUUUUUUGGUUUUGUUUUGCAUUCUUUUGUUUGUUGUUUUUCCUUUUUGUCAGUGAACACACCUUUUCUGAAAUAAGGAUUGCAAGGGGUGUCUCGAAUAUGUGGGCUGCCUUUUCAUUCUGUUCACUGUUUCAGAAGAGGAUGCUUUUUCUAGUCAGUCCUCUUGUCAAGCAUUGUGAUUCCAAUAUGAGCACAUUUAUUUGUGCAUUUCUAUUUCGCUCCCACAUGCUCCUGUCUAUUUUUAUGCCAGCACCAUCCUGUUGGCUCAGGGGAGUGAUCCAAGGUAUUGGAAGAUCAGCUUCUAGGGACCCACCACCUACUCCUUCAUACUCAGAAACAUUUUGGCUCCUUGUGUUCCUUUGAGGUUCCAUAUCUAUUCUAGCAGUUUCUCUGUUUUGAGAAUAUUACAUUGUGCUUUUGGUCAGUGCUGCACUGCAUCUGUUCACCAUUUGUUCUAGGAACUGGGGGUUCACCUUAAUCUCUUAGUGUCCAAAGGCCUCCAACAGUGCCAAGUCGGUGUGCAUGAGCCUGGGAAUGUCUUACCUAUCGAGGGCCCUGUCAGGCAAGCCACUAAUGCCCGAGAAAUAUGUGGGAGAGCAGGGCUUGUCUCUCGCUCCUGGCUGGCUCUAGUGCUGAGCUAACCAGGAGUCUGUCUACAAUUCACUUUACACAGUUAUUUAUUAUCUCAAUGGACUAUACAAAAAUCAUCAAGGAAAAGAAAACGUCCAGUUGCUCCCUCCCACUAGCCAGACAUCAAGAGUCCCAUAACAACUAGAGUUUUAGAUGGUUGCAUUGGGAGGGGACAGCAGUCAUGGGCAUGCAGAACUGACACUGAGGUGGCUGCUGCAGCAUCCUGGUCUCAUUAGAAAGGAUGAAACUCCAAUUUCUGUCUCCUCGAAGGGCUCUGGCUCCACCAGCCCCAUGAACAUCUGACACCAGUGCAAAAGGGUCAGGCAGAUGCUGCAUGGUACAUAGACAUCUCAACGGAACCGGGAUGAAUGGGUGCGGCAGUCUCUUUCGUAACAGCAUUGCUUCUAUUUUGGUUCCUAUAGAUUGUAUGUAGAGAGCGUCCAGGACUCCAGCAAUGAGGACGAAGUCUCUUCAGCAUCCUCGCUGCUCUCUGACCUGGAGGAGGAUUCCAUGGAAGACGACGAUUUCAACAGAAGGAGACACACUGCGCCUCUCUCAAGAAGCUUUCCUUCUGUGGACUUGACAGAAACAACAAGGGAAGCAGAAGAAGAGAAGGACUUGGGAAUGGGCUGCACCACAGGACAGUCUGCUCACGACACUGAGGCACCAGAGUCUCCAGAGGCGCUCAGACAAAGGGAGCCAGGAGGGCCCUGGGGCCCCACUUGCAGUGUCGAUUUGGGCCUGGAGGAAGACUCAGCAUGAAAACACAAGGAAACAUGCCUGCAGGAAUGGCUCUCUUGCACCUGACCUCCACAAGCCAAACAGAGAAGACUUCUGUGCAGCCCACCAGAAGAUGACACUGGAACCCGAGGAAGAGACAAGAGGACUCUCUGAGUCAGCCAACACACCCAGAAUUGGCUGACCAGGCCUUGCUGAUGACUGACACUUGGAGCAGGAAGCAAUGAUCUGGGCCUACAACAGUCCAUUGUCUGGUGAGAAUGGGCCCUCCUGGGACUGGGGGGCACAGCAGCCUUCUGGUCUUUUCCCCUGUCUGCUUCAGGGGAUGCUACUCCUCCUGCUGUCCCUCCAGUCCCCAGCAACCAUGCAGAGCAUGACAGAUGCAGGAAGAAGCAGGACUGCCAGGGCCCCUUGACCACCCUGGAAUCGACUUGAGGGACAGCAGCCACCCCACCUGUAUUCCCCUAGGGUGCCACCCCUGAAUCGCCCCUGUCUCUUCCAUGUACAGGUCCAUGACCAAUGCUUGGAUCAAUGUUAGGGCCAAUUUAAUGUUAAAACCUGUUUAACUAUUA